UGGGGAAGUUUUGGAUGAGGUGAUCUCUGGGGGUCCCGGCCACCUGCAGCUCUGGGGGGUGGGAGCACUGGCCCUGAGCAGUCCCCUCCACCUUGGGCUGGACUUUUGGACUUGUGGAUCAUUUCUUUUAACAAAAGUUCAGUGCCCAGCUGCAGUUGGGAAGGGGAUGGACAAGGAGCAAACAAACCCGUGGUGGUGUGGUGCCUACACCGGCAGUGCCUGCGCCCAACCCAUCAGCGUGGUGUGACCAGAAGUGGCACUGAGGGACAGAAAGUCCUUGGGAUUGCUGCGGGGAGGUGAGGCAGAAGGCCAGGGACAGCUCAGGGUGAGCAGAAAGCCGUGCUGUAUGGAAGCUGGAAUGGCUUCAACAAGGGACCAAAGGCCCGUGGGUCUCCCCCCAGUGCCCCAUGCUGGGGCUGGAGUUGGGUGCCCCAAAUCCCUCGUCCUGGACACGGGUUUCCAGGGCCCCGCUCUCGGGCUGGGCGCUCAGGGCCAGCUUCGCCCUGCGUAAAGGUGACACCGGCCGCAGGGUCGCCGCCUUCGCCUCCUUCCAUUAGGGUAAUUGCCUCUCUGCAAGCCCAGCUGCUGCCCUGGCGCUCGCGGCGGGCCCCGGGGAGCAGCGCGGCUGGGACCGCAGGCAGGGGAUGAAUAAUUCACCGCCUGGAAACAAAACCUCCGGCCUUAAAACCGAUCGGGCUCUGCUUGGCAUCUGCUGCCCGGGAUUAGCAGCCUCCGUCCCUCCGUCCCCAGCCCUGACGUCAGCCAGCGCCGAGCCCUUAAAGGCUGCACCAAAACCCUGCCCAGCCCCGGGAGAUGCCACACGAGGAGGGGCUGGAUGGCACAGCCCGCACCCCCGGCAGGUGACACCGCGAUGUCGCCAGCGCCCGGCUCCUGACGGCCCCGGCAGCACGAGGAUGGAGCCGGGCGCUCGCCUGCCCGCGUGGCUGCUGGCGCUCGGCCUCGCCAGCACCGUCCUGGCCCCAGCUGCUCCACGACCUCUUCGCCAACUACUCCAGCGCCCUGCGCCCCGCGGAGGACACGGACCGGGCGCUCAACGUCACCCUGCAGGUCACCCUGUCCCAGAUCAUCGACAUGGACGAGAGGAACCAGGUCCUCACCUCCUACCUGUGGGUCCGCCAGGCCUGGCUGGACGCCCACCUCACCUGGGACAAGGACGCCUACGGCGGCAUCGACAGCAUCCGCAUCCCCAGCAGCUACGUCUGGAGGCCGGACAUCGUCCUCUACAACAAGUGGGUCGCGCUCGCCCCAACCCGGGGGGGCUGCAGGGGGGCAUCGCAAAUUCGGGGCUGGGGGAAGGGGUCCCGGUGGGGGUGAGGCCGUCAUCCUUGCUGGGCUGGGGGGAUUGAGGGGCUGUCAGCAGGCGUGGGAACACCCCAAGGGACAGGGCCACCCUGGGGGAUGCAGGGGGGUGCAGUGUGGGGGUCCCGCACCAGCCCCAGCCCCCAGCCCCACUGGGGCUCGGUGCCAGGGCAGCUGCCCCACGGCCGCCCCUGCCCCAGCGCCGACGACCGGUUCGGGGGCUCGAUGGAGACCAACGUGGUG
rnacentral:lncRNA from 1 species